UACGUAGGGGGCAAGCGUUGUCCGGAUUUAUUGGGCGUAAAGAGCGUGUAGGCGGCCAAGCAGGUCCGCUGUGAAAACUCGAGGCUCAACCUCGAGACGUCGGUGGAAACCGUUUGGCUAGAGUCCGGAAGAGGAGAGUGGAAUUCCCGGUGUAGCGGUGAAAUGCGCAGAUAUCAGGAGGAACACCGAUUGCGAAGGCAGCUCGCUGGAACGUUACUGACGCUGGAGACGCGAAAGCGUGGGGAGCAAACAGG
rnacentral:rRNA from 1 species